rnacentral:rRNA from 1 species
AAUAUUGGACAAUGGGGGCAACCCUGAUCCAGCCAUGCCGCUUGUUUGAAGAAGGUCUUCGGAAUGUAAAGCACUUUAAGUUGGGAGGUAGGGCUUUAGGUUAAUCCCCUGAAGUUUCGAAGUUACCAACAGAAUAAGCACCGGCUAACUCUGUGCUCGCAGCCGCGGUAAUACAGAUGGUGCAAGCCUUAAUCGGAAUUAGUGGGCGUAAAGCGCGCGUAGGUGGUUCAGUAAAAUGGGUGUGAAAUCCCCGGGCUUAACCUGGGAACUGCUUUCAUAACUGCUGAGCUAGAGUACGGUAGAGGGUAGUGGAAUUUCCUGUGUAGCGGUGAAAUGCGUAGAUAUAGGAAGGAACACCAGUGGCGAAGGCGACUACCUGGACUGAUACUGACACUGAGGUGCGAAAGCGUGGGGAGCAAACA